rnacentral:rRNA from 1 species
UACGAAGGGGCUAGCGUUGUUCGGAAUUACUGGGCGUAAAGGGCGCGUAGGCGGCUGUGCAAGUCAGAUGUGAAAGCCCUGGGCUCAACCCAGGAUGUGCAUUUGAUACUGCGCGGCUAGAGUGUCGGAGAGGAUGGUGGAAUUCCCAGUGUAGAGGUGAAAUUCGUAGAUAUUGGGAAGAACACCGGUGGCGAAGGCGACCAUCUGGACGACAACUG